GUCUAUAGCCAUACCAUCCUGAAUGUUCCUGAUUGUGUCUGAUAUCAGAAGUUAAGCAAAGUUAGGUCUGGUUGAUACUUGGAUAGGAAUAAAUUUCAAAGGGUGCCAAAGAUC
rnacentral:rRNA from 1 species